UGAGGAAUAUUGGUCAAUGGUCGGGAGACUGAACCAGCCAAGCCGCGUGAGGGAUGAAGGUACAGAGUAUCGUAAACCUCUUUUGUCAGGGAACAAAAGGCGCCACGCGUGGCGCUCCGAGUGUACCUGAAGAAAAAGCAUCGGCUAACUCCGUGCCAGCAGCCGCGGUAAUACGGAGGAUGCGAGCGUUAUCCGGAUUUAUUGGGUUUAAAGGGUGCGUAGGCGGCGAGUUAAGUCAGCGGUAAAAGCCCGGGGCUCAACCCCGGCCCGCCGUUGAAACUGGCUUGCUUGAGUUGGAGAGAAGUAGGCGGAAUGCGCGGUGUAGCGGUGAAAUGCUUAGAUAUCGCGCAGAACUCCGAUUGCGAAGGCAGCCUACCGGCUCCAGACUGACGCUGAGGCACGAAAGCGUGGGUAUCGACAGAUAGAUACC
rnacentral:rRNA from 1 species